rnacentral:lncRNA from 1 species
CAGGAGGCUUAGCUCUGCUUGCGUAUAGCAGUGAGGUCUUUGCUGUGCUUGGGAUGGGAGUCCCAGAGCCCAGAUCUGCUGAGACCUAUUUGGGGUGAGGGCAUGGGGACCCCAUAAACCUCCUGUACGGAGCCAUGGUUCUACCCUGGAAAUUAGACUCAAAAAGCCCUUGAAGGCUGAGGAUGGGCACCCCAUGAAUUCAGCAGCUCCUUCAAAUCAGAAGAGAAUAGACAAUGUAGCAAUCUGUGUUUGGUCCUGUGUUCCAAGCCCCAGCUGCUGGAGGCAGAUGAUUACAUGAGAAUCUCAGCUGACUUGAAGAAGCAGAAAGAGUUAAAAAUGAAGUUUUAAAAUCUUGUGGUUGAAAAGAAAGCUCAAAAACAUGUCCUCCGCACAGCCUCAGACCCAGAAGGCAAAUAAUAUGAAACCAAUCUGCAGUCUAAAUCUGCUAAUCGCACAAGUUUCUUGAUGGGGAGCAGUAUUUGUUAAGCGUCCAACAAAGGCGUCAGAAGAAGCAGAGUAGGAAACGAUCAAUGCAGUUGUGGCUUAUCUGAGCCACGUCAGCAAAUCACUGCUGCCACAUGCAAAGACCCUUGGUGGAUGCCGGCUCGCACUCAGAAGCUGCGGUGAUGUCAAGACCCCAAAGCCACACGAGUGAGAUGCAAACCCACGGCGAAACCAAGGAAGACGUAGUGAAUUCUGCAUGAGUGGUUUGAAGAGAGGGGAACCCCACCAUCUACAUGCAGAGAAGUGGGACGUGGGCAACACCUAUUGUACAGCUGCUCUCCAUCACUUGGCGUGAACAAUGGAACCAGGGCUGCCACUGGGACAACCUGGACAGUGCAAGAGAUGCCCAUUUUAAGAACAAAUGCGUUCUCCAUUCUGCAGGGCGGUGCUUGAGGUCCUCACUAAGGGGAGACCAGGUCCUGCGGCAGCUGUUGGCAAAGCUCCUGUGGACUUUGGUCUGGUCCAAAUUCCACCUCUUGAGUUUGACUACGGUCCAGCAGCGCCUAAGCCUGAUGCUGGCCUCCUGCCCUCCACUGAGUUUCCUCCUACAGCAACAGAACGGGGCCCGAGUUGUAUCUCGCCAAUAAAACAAAUAGAAUUAAAUGAUGCAAGGGUGUUUGAGUCGUGAUUUUCAUCAGCAUUUCCUUUUCACUGAGCUCAAAGUCUAGUUUGAAUGC